rnacentral:rRNA from 1 species
CGCGUAGGCGGUCCGGUAAGUCCGCUCUGAAAGUCCGGGGCUCAACCCCGGGAGGCGGGCGGAUACUGCCGGGCUAGAGUCCGGAAGAGGCGAGUGGAAUUCCUGGUGUAGCGGUGAAAUGCGCAGAUAUCGUCUGGAACGCCAAAGGUGAAAACAGGUCGCUGGGGCUGUGCUGACGCUGAGACACGAAAGCCAGGGGAGCGAACG